UGGGGAAUUUUGGACAAUGGGCGAAAGCCUGAUCCAGCAAUGCCGCGUGUGUGAAGAAGGCCUUCGGGUUGUAAAGCACUUUUGUCCGGAAAGAAAUCCUUGGCUCUAAUACAGUCGGGGGAUGACGGUACCGGAAGAAUAAGCACCGGCUAACUACGUGCCAGCAGCCGCGGUAAUACGUAGGGUGCAAGCGUUAAUCGGAAUUACUGGGCGUAAAGCGUGCGCAGGCGGUUUGCUAAGACCGAUGUGAAAUCCCCGGGCUCAACCUGGGAACUGCAUUGGUGACUGGCAGGCUAGAGUAUGGCAGAGGGGGGUAAAUUCCACGUGUAGCAGUGAAAUGCGUAGAGAUGUGGAGGAAUACCGAUGGCGAAGGAGCCCCCUGGGCCAAUACUGACGCUCAUGCAGCGAAAGCGUGGGGAGCAAACAGGAUUAGAUACCCUGGGUAGUCCACGCCCUAAACGAUGUC
rnacentral:rRNA from 1 species